GCUCUGCUGUGGUCGGGGAACCCUGGAACGGUGGCUAAUACCGGAUGAGCCGAAAGGUAAAAAAUUUAUUGCCCACAGAUGAGCUCGCGUCUGAUUAGCUAGUUGGUAAGGUAAAAGCGUACCAAGGCGACGAUCAGUAGCUGGUCUGAGAGGAUGAGCAGCCACACUGGGGCUGAGACACGGCCCAGACUCCUACGGGAGGCAGCAGUGGGGUAUUUUCCGCAAUGGGCGAAAGCCUGACGGAGCAAGACCGCGUGGGGGAGGAAGGUUUUUGGAUCGUAAACCCCUUUUGUCAAGGAAGAAGUUCUGACGGUACUUGACGAAUAAGCCUCGGCUAACUCCGUGCCAGCAGCCGCGGUAAUACGGAGGAGGCAAGCGUUAUCCGGAAUGAUUGGGCGUAAAGCGUCUGUAGGUGGCCAGCUAAGUCUGCUGUUAAAGAUCACAGCUCAACUGUGGGAAGGCAGUGGAAACCGGCAAGCUAGAGGCUGGUAGGGGUAAAGGGAAUUCCCGGUGUAGCGGUGAAAUGCGUAGAUAUCGGGAAGAACACCGGUGGCGAAAGCGCUUUACUGGGCCAGACCUGACACUGAAGGACGAAAGCUAGGGGAGCGAAUGGGAUUAGAUACCCCUGUAGUCA
rnacentral:rRNA from 1 species